rnacentral:lncRNA from 1 species
UCACAUCACAUCAUAUUAUAUAAAAAAGUUGUAGAGAAAAAUCACAUCAUAAAUUGAUAUGUAAGACAAAUCAUAUUAUAUAUGAGAUCGUAUCAGCCAAAUCAUUCUGUAAACAAAAAUGACGGUAAAAAACUGACUCAAGUUUGACAUAGACAAUAGACAAGAUGAAAACUAAUAUUAACUAAAGACCACAUAUGUUGUCCUGAUGAUUGCAAUGUAAGGAUGGCUUUCAUGAACCAUCUGGUUUGGACUGGGACUACAGAGUUGCUUGCUAAGUUGCUUGAGCCCUCAAGAGAAAAUCAAGCAGAUUAUCCAUCUCCUUUUGCUUCUUUGCCUAGGCUUCAUUCUUCUCUUGUUGGAUCUUCUUUAGAGCUUCCAAUUCUUCUUGCUGCUUCUUUUGUAUCUCUUCAAAUGCUCUCUCUUGUGCUUCAAGUCUUGCGGCUAACUCCUCCCGAUGCCUAUAAAUGACAAACACAACAACGUUGCAUCAUAAUGAGAUGAAAAUUGACAAGAUAACAUGCAUAACCUUGAGCUAGAGGUAUAAUGGUUAAAGUACAUGUAAUCAAUGCACCCCUUAGCUUAGCAUACACAUCACCCAUGCGUUUAUGUUCCGCGAGGAAUGCCCUCCUUUCCCUCUCACUCUCCCAAACUAGUGGCAUGAUUGUAGUACCUGAACGUGCAAGAUGAAAAAGAGUGGAACUAAAUGAAUUGCAAAAU